rnacentral:Y_RNA from 1 species
GGCUGGUGUGAGGUAGUGAGUUAUCUCAAUUGAUUAUUCACAGUCAGUUACAGAUGGAAAUCUUCGUUCUACUCUCUUUCCCCCUUCUCACUAUUGCACUAGUCUAAA